GUGGCAUCCAACUAGCUUACCAACGGCAGUGCAGCAGCUGCCACGAAGGGCAGCUGGCCUUCAACAUAAAGGCCAUAAACCAUUGCUGCGAGGCCUGUGGCUUCUAUCAGAAGGUCGGGUCAUAUGUAAAGGCUGCCACCGGGACAGUCUGGGUCAAUAAGGGGGAUGUGAAACUCACGUUGAAAUUGACCUCGACUGUCCUGAUGACAUACCUGAGUCAAAACAACCUCCAGAAGCUGCUUACAGAUGUGCAGUUGGUGGAGGGGCACUUUUUGGAAGUGGGGGUGUUUGAAAUCAAAUACAAUGUCAACAAUGAGGUUGUCGUUGUCACAACAGGGAAUGUUUGAAUACAGGAUGGUCGUAAUUAAUAGCAGAUUAAGAAGUCGUAUCAUAAUAAUAUAGUGUAAUUUUAAUGGCACAGAAGAUAUUGUUAAUGAUAUCCCCUUUUAAGUAUGAAAACAUAUUUCUUGCAUAGUUGAGUGGAUUUGUGGGAUAUAUAUAAGCUACAUGUCAACGAGAUGUGGUCUUUCUUAACUGGUUGUAAUUGGGUAUUAUUUGACUUUUAGUCCUGUAUAUGACGUGUCAAAUGUUUUAUUUUUAUUUCUCUUUCUUUCUGUUUUUUUUUUUUUUUUAAUGGAAGGCAAACAUAACUUGUUCAUGGAAAUAUUUUUGCAAUUCCAUCCAAAAGUCUUGAAUGUUUAAGUUAAAGUCAUUGUUGGGAAUGCUUAUGAUGUAUGGAGG
ensembl:lncRNA